AGCUUUGCACAAUGGCAGUAUCAUAGCCAAUGAGGUUUAUCCGAGGCGCAAUUAUUGCUAAUUCAAAAUCUCUCCACAAACUGCUGUUUAUCUUCCCCCUGAAUCAAACUGACACCAAGAACACUUUGAAAAAAAUCCUGAACUUGAAAUAUUU
rnacentral:snRNA from 1 species